rnacentral:rRNA from 1 species
UACGAAGGGGGCUAGCGUUGUUCGGAAUCACUGGGCGUAAAGGGCGCGUAGGCGGCUGUUCAAGUCGGGGGUGAAAUCCCGUGGCUCAACCACGGAAUGGCCUUCGAUACUGGACGGCUAGAGACCGGAAGAGGUGAGUGGAACUGCGAGUGUAGAGGUGAAAUUCGUAGGUAUUCGCAAGAACACCAGUGGCGAAGGCGGCUCACUGGUCCGGUUCUGACGCUGAGGCGCGAAAGCGUGGGGAGCAAACAGG